AGCAGCAUGGCGCAGUUGGAAGCGCGCGGGGCCCAUACUACCAGUCGUGUGCAACCCCGAGGUCACUUGAUCGAAACAAGUUGCUGCUA